ACGUAGGUGGCAAGCGUUGUCCGGAAUUUCUGGGCGUAAAGCGCGCGCAGGUGGGAUAGUAAGUCUUAUGUAAAAGCGCGGGGCUCAACCCCGUAGCGCGUGAGAAACUGUUAUUCUUGAGUGCCGGAGAGGAAAGCGGAAUUCCCAGUGUAGCGGUGAAAUGCGUAGAUAUUGGGAGGAACACCAGUGGCGAAGGCGGCUUUCUGGACGGUGUCUGACACUGAGGCGCGAAAGCCAGGGGAGCGAACGG
rnacentral:rRNA from 1 species